CGGGGAGGCGGACGUGGGUCGCGGCCCCCGUUCCGGUUCGGGCGUGGGGUCGAGGAAAGUCCGAGCUCCAUAGGGCAGGGUGCCGGGUAACCCCCGGGCGCCGCAAGGCGACGGACAGGGCCACAGAGAACAGACCGCCGAUGGCCCCGCGCGGGCGGGGCACAGGCAAGGGUGAAACGGUGGGGUAAGAGCCCACCGCGCUUCCGGGCAACCGGAGCGGCACGGCAACCCCCACCCGGAGCAAGGCCAAGUAGGGGGCGAGGCGUGGCCCGCGCCGCGCGAGCCGGCCGGCUCGCACAGCCCCGGGUAGGCCGCUCGAGGCCGUCGGCAACGGCGGCCCCAGAGAGAUGACCCACCUCGAGGCCUCGGCCUCGAGACAGAACUCGGCUUACCCGCCUCCCCGAGGC
rnacentral:RNase_P_RNA from 2 species